UUUGCAGCGUCGGGCUCAGUGGUCAAACGGAUCGUCUUGUGCGCGCAGUCGUCACUGUGAACGCCUGCGAGAGAGAGAGCAGCGCUGCGCUGCGCUGCGCUCUGACUCAUCUGCAUCGGCAUCGAGAGGUCCGAGCUCCCAGGUAACAAGAGCCAUCUUUGACGUUUCGAGAUCCGGCCCCCCAGUUAGUGUAUUUGACAUGCUGAGUUUGACACUCUGUAUCUCCCAGUGUCAGUUUGUCAAAUACCCUAAGUGAGGUGUCACUUGUCUACAAGUGUGAACCCAUCCAGAGUUACUCCAGAAUGACAGCGGGCUCUGAUCAUCACCAUGUGUAUUGUGCUUCGUCAUCAUAUAAUCGAUUUAAAUGGCAUUUUUAGUCAAUCGCAUGCAAGUUACAAAUAGGUGCAAUGAAUGAACCAACCAAUGUUUCACUGAGAUCUUUUAAUAAAAUGGAGGUGUGCAAAUAGAUUUACUGACUCCAAGAAAACCUAACUCUUGAACCAACUUUUCUUUUUCAGUGUGUUUAUUUCUAGGUCUAUAGCACAGCCACAACACAUGUCAUGUGUUAUUUUCAGGAGAGGGUAAGGCGGCUCUGAAAUUCCAUCAUUUGUUGUGGUUCCUCGGAUCAUUUCUAUUUUUAAAAAAGUGUUUUGACACAGUUUGCAUCCAGAAGGUUAAUAUGAAGUUAUGAAACGUUGCUCCAAACACAUGAGAACAACAGUACUGCUAAUCUGUUGCCAGGGAUCCAAAUAUUAAAAUGCAUGCUAAAUGUAUCUAAAAUGUAGCAAAUUCAUGUACUGGACAAAAUGAUCGGUUUCUACAAGACCUAAAGGAUGACCAGCCUUCUCUAAGACUGCACACAUGUGAACAGUUCAGGUAUUUGCCUCAUUUGUCCCAUUCAGUCUUUUGCUGAAUGGUUUUGUUCAGCCUUGAAGUGUCCUUUCCCUGCUUUUUCAUGUGGGAGCGCCUCUUUUCAAUUUCCCCUGUUUGGGUGACUUUAGGGAGAGAAUACAUAUCCAGUACCGCAUGUGUCCUCUGAAUCUUUUGGGGAGUUUUUGUGUGAUGCCAAAAAUGGGUUAUACUUAGGAUCUAAAGCUGCUGAAUCUUAUCGUCCAACUGACGGCACUUAUCGGUCCACCGUGCAUUUCCUGUUCCUGUGGAGACGUGCUGCAUUUCCUGCAUGUGUGUGAAUAAAUGUGUAUACCCGUUUCUGCUUUUUAAAAGGUCUUAACUUACCAACUGUUGUCAUAAAGGUUUGUGUGCACACUGCAACAUGUGACCCAAUGCUCUUGCACAUCCUGCUAUUUUUUGGCAUAUUGCAUUUGACAUACUAUGUAAUGGGAAAUGCUAAAAAAAUAAUUCUGACAUACUAGAUAGUCUGGUUCGUAGAGUGCACAGUGAGUGCAUGUCCUCUUCAAUGCUUCCUUGCAUGGGGAAACUGCUAACACAUGGUGUAAAUCAUGGGCACUCGGUCUUGGCUUAAGUGUAUUGAAAUAAAAUAUCCAGCCCUCCAUCGACCAACCCAUGCUUGGUAUAAACAAAAAGAUGUGCAGCAGGGUUUCAUCUGCACGGUGUUAUGAGCAGCUUGUACAUAUCUAGUUCUUCAGGCACAUCCAUAUACAUGGAUGAACUGGUUUGUGGCCAGUUGUUUAAUUCCAAUUAAACUAUUUCUAAGAUUUUCACCUUGUUAUCUGCAGUCAAACACUGUAUCAUGUUGCUCCGAUUCAUAUCCAGAUAAAGUAUUUUGAAGGAAGUCCAAAUGUCAAGUUGUACUGUACACGGUAUCCGAGUCUUGCCUGGCCUCCGAGGCGGUUGGAAAUGUUCUUAAACUAACGUUGGUCUGGAGCGGGACUUCACCAGAAUGUUUUAAGGCCAACAGAAUAACUCUAUAAGAGUCUGUAAAAGCAUCCUUUGUAUUUUUAGAAGAAGAUCAGGUCAGCAACAGCAAACCGUGCGGUCUUAUUUAAACUGUUUUCGACUCCCAGGCUGGAGGCUUUAUUUGGAAAUGCAAUAUGUUGUUCUCAGUUGAUUUCAUUGCACAAGAGCAAAGGGCCUCCAGUGAGGCUGCCAACUUGUACACUCCGGUGUUUUUAAAUGUGCUGAAACAUCCGUUUCCAAGAUGAAGUCUAAACCGCACCUGCAGUACAACCUGGCAUCAUGGGGAAUUGCAGGACAAAUGUGUGACAGACUGGAACUGUCUGUCACACAUUUGUUUAUGAGAAGUUUGAACACGAACUCCAAAGGUAUCCGUUUCCAACCACCACUCCAUUCCUAGCUUCUCCAUAUUUCUUCUUUAUUUCCCGAUGUAAUUUGACCAGUAAGUAGUGCUAGAGCUCUAUUCUUUGAUUUCUAAGAAUGAGGCCAGCUUCACAUUAAAGAGCCUGAUAUUGAACCCAGUUCAUUAAUAUAGAUUCAGCUUGUUGAGAUGAUUAUUCUUUACUGGAGAGAGAAGCUCACAUCCACAACACGAGUUAGAUCAACGCUACCACAUCAAGUAUCUUCUUCUUUGUUGAUGGAGAUAAAGUACACAAUUGGUUGUUAAUGGCAACGGCUAUGUCAACUGUUGGUGGGAGAGGAAUGUACAUCCUUGUGUUAAAGUGUGUGUGUAAAAGUGUGUUGGAGAUAUCUUAAUGAGAUACAAAUAGCUAUGGGUUCUGAACCAUUUUCUGUAGUUUUUAUUAGUCAUUUUUAUUUUAUCUACUCAUUCAUUCAUGUGCAAUAUCAAUAUGAGUGUAUUCCACAAUAUAUAUAUUUCCUAUUUCAUUUGUGCAAUAAUGUGAACUCAACCAUUCAGUCAGUUCGUAUCUUAUUGUAGUUUUCAUUAGUUUUACGGUUCACUUAUUUAUCAUACCUUUACUGUUUGAUAUCUUAUUUAUUGUCAUUGUUUUUUUUUAUAUUUGCCGUUUCACUAUGCCCUUUGCUUUUGGAAUACUAUAAAUGCCCCAGCUGUGGAACUAAUAAAUGAUAAUCUUAUUUCA